rnacentral:rRNA from 1 species
AGCUCCAAUAGCGUAUAUUAAAGUUGUUGCGGUUAAAAGCUCGUAGUUGGAUUUCUGUACGAGAGCACCGGUCCGCAUUUUGUGCGUGUAUCUGGUAGAACUUGUGCAUCCUCUUAUUUUCAAAUCUGCGCUUCAUUGCGUGGUUUUGUGGAUAAGACUUUUACUUUGAGGAAAUUAGAGUGUUCACGGCAGGCAAGCGCCCUGAAUAUGUUAGCAUGGAAUAAUAAUAUAAGACUUCGGUUUUAUUUUGUUGGUUUCUAAAGCUGAAGUAAUGAUUAAUAGGAACAGUUGGGGACACUUGUAUUAACUCGCUAGAGGUGGAAUUCUUGGAUUGAGUUACGACAAACUACUGCGAAAGCAUUUGUCAAGGAUGUUUUCA